CCGCGCGAAGGUAGCGUAAUCACUUGUCUUCUAAAUAAAGACUAGUAUGAACGGCCACACGAGGACUUGACUGUCUCCCUUGUCCAAUCAGUGAAACUGAUCCCCUCGUGCAGAAGCGAGGAUAUACCCAUAAGACGAGAAGACCCUAUGGAGCUUUAAACUCAAUAUUAAUUACCUUUUAACCCCCCUCUAAGGAACUAACAAAUAAUUUUAAAACUUAAUAUUAGUUUUAGGUUGGGGCGACCAUGGAGAAAAAAAUAUCCUCCCUGAUGAUCUUCUAACCAAGAGCCACAGCUCCAAGUAUUAAGAUACUUAACUCCCAUUGACCCAUUUUGUGAUCAACGAACCAAGUUACCCUAGGGAUAACAGCGCAAUCCAUUUCAAGAGUCCCUAUCGACAAAUGGGUUUACGACCUCGAUGUUGGAUCAGGGCAUCCUA
rnacentral:rRNA from 1 species